rnacentral:rRNA from 1 species
GGCUCAGUAACACGUGGAUAAUCUACCCUGCGGAGGGGGAUAACCCCGGGAAACUGGGGAUAAUACCCCAUAGACUAUGGAUGCUGGAAUGCUCUGUAGCCGAAAGGUCCGCCGCCGCAGGAUGAGUCUGCGGCCGAUUAGGUUGUUGUUGGGGUAACGGCCCAACAAGCCUGUAAUCGGUACGGGUUGUGGGAGCAAGAGCCCGGAGAUGGAUUCUGAGACACGAAUCCAGGCCCUACGGGGCGCAGCAGGCGCGAAAACUUUGCAAUGCGGGAAACCGUGACAAGGGAACUCCGAGUGCCCGUAAAUUCGGGCUGUCCGCCAGUUUAAAUCACUGGUGAAGAAAGGGCCGGGCAAGACCGGUGCCAGCCGCCGCGGUAAUACCGGCGGCUCGAGUGGUGGCCACUAUUACUGGGCUUAAAGCGUUCGUAGCUGGUCUGUUAAGUCUCUGGGGAAAUCUUCCGGCUUAACCGGAAGGCGUCUCAGGGAUACUGGCAGACUAGGGACCGGGAGAGGUGAGGGGUACUCCAGGGGUAGGAGUGAAAUCCUGUAAUCCUUGGGGGACCACCUGUGGCGAAGGCGCCUCACCAGAACGGCUCCGACAGUGAGGAACGAAAGCUGGGGGAGCAAACCGGAUUAGAUACCCGGGUAGUCCCAGCUGUAAACGAUGCGCGUUAGGUGUAUCGGUGACCACGAGUCACCGAGGUGCCGAAGAGAAAUCGUGAAACGUGCCGCCUGGGAAGUACGGUCGCAAGGCUGAAACUCAAAGGAAUUGACGGAAG